UCUCCGUUGGUGAACCAGCGGAGGGAUCAUUACAGGAUCGAAAGACUCCUAUUCCCCCUGUGAACUUAUUACAAAUACGUUGCUUCGGCGGGUUCACCUGGUCUCCCGGGGCGUUCAGCCCGACCGCAGACUUCAAAUUCUCUUUUUUUGCGUUAGCAUCUCGAGUAUACAAAAAUAAGUUAAAACUUUCAACAACGGAUCUCUUGGUUCUG
rnacentral:misc_RNA from 1 species